rnacentral:rRNA from 1 species
UACGUAGGGGGCAAGCGUUGUCCGGAAUUAUUGGGCGUAAAGAGCGUGUAGGCGGUCCGGUAAGUCAGCUGUGAAAGUCAAGGGCUCAACCCUGGGAUGCCGGUGGAUACUGUCGAGCUCGAGUCCGGAAGAGGCGAGUGGAAUUCCCGGUGUAGCGGUGAAAUGCGCAGAUAUCGGGAGGAACACCUAUGGCGAAGGCAGCUCUCUGGGACGGUACUGACGCUGAGACGCGAAAGCGUGGGGAGCGAACAGG